rnacentral:rRNA from 1 species
UGACCGCGGAUCACGUGAGGAUACCCGCUGAAUUUAA